UUUUUUUUUUUUUUUUUUUUUUUGAGUUGUACUUUUAUCUAAUCUUCUUGCAGGAGGCAGAGUCUGCCUUAGGUGCUUGUAUACAAGACCCAGUAUUUCAUAGGGUCAGGGAUGUUGCCCCAAAUAAGGCAAUGUUUUGCUUAAGCUUUAGGCUACCAGAAGCAUGUUUCAAAGAUGAUUGCUGAUAGCCUUCAUUCUGCUAAAGCAGUUUUAUAGGAACCUGGAUUUGGUUUGCUUAGACUCUUUUUACUCUGCACAUUAACAGGAGCAUAAAGGAAAAGUGUUUAACAUAACUUUGCUUUGAAAAAUUUAAUAUUUCAAGGGCAAACUUAUGUAAGAUGGAUAAAUAUAUAUAAUUCAAAAUUUUGUUCCGAGCAUUUCAAUUCUGUUUGUUUAUUCA